UACGGAGGGUGCAAGCGUUAUCCGGAAUGAUUGGGCGUAAAGCGUCCGCAGGCGGCCAUGUAAGUCUGCUGUCAAAGCGUCUGGCUCAACCAGAUAAAGGCAGUGGAAACUACAUAGCUAGAGUAAGGUAGGGGUAGAGGGAAUUCCUGGUGUAGCGGUGAAAUGCGUAGAGAUCAGGAAGAACACCGGUGGCGAAAGCGCUCUGCUGGACCGUAACUGACACUGAGGGACGAAAGCUAGGGGAGCGAAUGGG
rnacentral:rRNA from 1 species